rnacentral:rRNA from 1 species
AGAGUUUGAUCCUGGCUCAGGAUGAACGCUGGCGGCGUGCUUAACACAUGCAAGUCGAACGAAGCACUUUAUUUGAUUUCCUUUGGGACUGAUUAUUUUGUGACUGAGUGGCGGACGGGUGAGUAACGCGUGGGUAACCUGCCUUGUACAGGGGGAUAACAGUUGGAAACGGCUGCUAAUACCGCAUAAGCGCACAGCAUCGCAUGAUGCAGUGUGAAAAACUCCGGUGGUAUAAGAUGGACCCGCGUUAGAUUAGCUAGUUGGUGAGGUAACGGCCCACCAAGGCGACGAUCCAUAGCCGACCUGAGAGGGUGACCGGCCACAUUGGGACUGAGACACGGCCCAAACUCCUACGGGAGGCAGCAGUGGGGAAUAUUGCACAAUGGGCGAAAGCCUGAUGCAGCGACGCCGCGUGAGCGAAGAAGUAUUUCGGUAUGUAAAGCUCUAUCAGCAGGGAAGAUAAUGACGGUACCUGACUAAGAAGCACCGGCUAAAUACGUGCCAGCAGCCGCGGUAAUACGUAUGGUGCAAGCGUUAUCCGGAUUUACUGGGUGUAAAGGGAGCGCAGGCGGUGCGGCAAGUCUGAUGUGAAAGCCCGGGGCUCAACCCCGGUACUGCAUUGGAAACUGUCGUACUAGAGUGUCGGAGGGGUAAGCGGAAUUCCUAGUGUAGCGGUGAAAUGCGUAGAUAUUAGGAGGAACACCAGUGGCGAAGGCGGCUUACUGGACGAUAACUGACGCUGAGGCUCGAAAGCGUGGGGAGCAAACAGGAAUAGAUACCCCGGUAGUCCACGCCGUAAACGA